CCCAUAUUCAAAAUUUGAAUCUCUUCUUCCUCCUUUACCAUGUCUAAGGCGGCGGAGCAUCUUGCCGAUGUUUUCUCUCUUACUUGUUUAUUUAUCUCUCUUACAUGUUGAUGAUGUCGUCGAACAUUCUUUUGGAUCUGAGAAACCAAAGACGCGCCUCCGCUCACUUGUUGUGCCUCCGCUUUUUUGCAGCGCCUCCAUCUCUCUUCCGUGACUCCGUGCUUCUCUUCAGAAGAAGCACAAAAUAGUUCAACCUUGGAAGCAAUGGUGUUGCGGUGUCUAGCAAUCAAGACCAUGUCUUUCCUCUGGAUGCAAUCGCUACAGGUGAUGCACCAUGCUUAAAACGUGCAGGUCUACCUUGUGGAGGUGGUGAGCACCGAACCAUGGAGAACAUAAAAUCAGGGGAGAUGUAGACAACUGGUCGAGCGUCGUUGAAGCUAACUUUAGCAUGCUGAGAAUUGGAAAAAAAUGUAGUGAAGUUAAAGGUUGGGGAGACAUCAUCGGAAGGCAGCAACACCCAUGGUGGGUGUUGAGUGGAGUCAACCAUUAGUGAUUGGGUCUUGUAUUAUACUAUGGAAGCUUAGGAUCUAUUUUCUAAAUGUCUACGAGUUUUUUGUAAAACGGGUAACAUAAAAUUUAGCUAGAGGGUAGUAAGUUUUUGGAUGGUUAAAAUUUUGUGUAACCGUUAAAAUUAUCCGAAUGUAAGGAAGUUAACCUGUUUAAAUGAUAUGCAUUUCUAAAUGUAAGAAAUUUAAAAUUUAGCCAGGGAUAGUAAAUUUUUGGAUGGAUAAACUUUAGAAUAACUGUUUGUAGAAACAAGAGCUGAUUACGUAGAAUGACACAUUUUGUCUUUGUUUUACAUACAAGUACACAUUCCACUUGCGGGACACUUUUUGGUGGGGCCAAGGGGUUGGUUUGUCAAAAUUACCCUUAUAAAAAACGGUGGUGUUUUGUUGGAGAGAACAAACUAGUUUCCUUUUUUUUUGUCUCUGCUUCCAUUUGAAUAACUUUUAUUGCAUUUAUGUUUUAGGAAAAAUGAUUCUAGUUUCCACCGUUAGAUUAAAAAAAUUACUAUUAAAUCGAAUGGAUGAGGCUUUUCACCUUUGGAUUAAAAUGAUUACUAUUAAAUCGUAUGGAUGAGAUUGAAUCUUGGAGAGUAGGUCAAUUAGACAAAGAUGUGACUUAAUGGUUGUGUUCGGUGUGGAAAGGGGGGGGGGGUGCAAGGAUGGUUGAGUUGUGGUCGGGUGAGUUGUGUUCAAGUGAUUUGUGUAUGGGCGAUGCUUGGACGAGUGGUCUGUGGACAGGUGAUGUAUGGACGGGUGAUAUUUGGACGGAUGAUGUGUGGACGAAUGAGGAAGCAGGAGUGGGGUUUUGGCCACUCAUGUUUUGAACUGGUUCACAAUAGCGUUCCUCAUUCACCAUCACCACUAGCAAAAGCAUGAACAUAUGGCUAGAGAUUAUUUUGUGGGCAGUGUACAUAAAAAAUGGAUGAAUUUUGUUGAUUAGAGAUAUAUAGAUAAUAGAAUUGCGUACAAAUUCAAAUUAGGGAUAUAAAUCAGAGUUUUUUGUUUUAAUAAUAUCUUGGUUUUUGUGGACAUAAUUUUGGAAGCAAAAUGUUGUGGGCAACAUCUAAUUAACAAAAAAAAUGUGGACGUGGACAAGUGAAAACUUGUAAAGAAAGUUCCGUAAGAUUUGUAUGCAAGAUUUGUAAAACCUGAUAGCUUAUCACAAUAAUAGAAAUGUGAAGUAUACAAAAA